GAUGAACGCUAGCGGCAGGCCUAACACAUGCAAGUCGAGGGGCAGCGGGGGUAGCAAUACCUGCCGGCGACCGGCGCACGGGUGCGUAACGCGUAUGCAACCUGCCCACUCCCGGGGGAUAGCCCGCCGAAAGGCGGAUUAAUACCCCAUGGACCCUUAGCCCCGCAUGGGGCGGAGGGUAAAGCUCCGGCGGGAAUGGAUGGGCAUGCGUGCCAUUAGCUGGCUGGCGGGGUAACGGCCCACCAGGGCUACGAUGGCUAGGGGGUCUGAGAGGAUGAUCCCCCACACUGGUACUGAGACACGGACCAGACUCCUACGGGAGGCAGCAGUGAGGAAUAUUGGUCAAUGGGCGGAAGCCUGAACCAGCCAUGCCGCGUGCAGGACGACGGCCCUACGGGUUGUAAACUGCUUUUCCGGGGGGAAGAAUAAGGCCCAUGCGUGGGCCGAUGCCGGUACCCCGGGAAUAAGGAUCGGCUAACUCCGUGCCAGCAGCCGCGGU
rnacentral:rRNA from 1 species